rnacentral:rRNA from 1 species
CCCUUAGAUGUCCUGGGCCGCACGCGCGCUACACUGACCGGUGCAACAAGCAUCCGUCCUUGGCCGACAGGCCCGGGCAAUCUUUGAACGCCGGUCGUGAUGGGGAUAGACUUUUGCAAUUUUUGGUCUUCAACGAGGAAUUCCUAGUAAACGCAAGUCAUCAACUUGCAUUGAUUACGUCCCUGCCCUUUGUACACACCGCCCGUCGCACCUACCGAUUGAAUGGUCCGGUGAAGCCUCCGGAUUGGCGCGCACCUCGGUGCCGCCGAGAAGUUGGCUAAACCUUACCAUUUAGAGGAAGGUGAAGUCGUAACA